ensembl:lncRNA
CCAGACCCAUGCCUGGGGCCAACAUCUGCCUUUCAAAACAAUGCUGGUAAAUAGGAUUCCAUUAAGCCUUGAUCUUACAUUUUCAAAAUCCUUCCUUGUCACUCCGUGGAAGGACGAGUGGCACUCAGACAGGCCCAGGUUCAUGAAUUUUCCAACUAGAAGGAACCAUCCUGGUUGCAAAGCAUAGCCCCCUGGAUGGGAGGAACAUAUUUACUUGUUAUUUAGCUUAUCUCUUUUUCCAUUUAUGCAUUGUGUAGGUUACCCAUCUUGCCAAAUCAAGAGAUGAUGAACUUAUGUUGAUUUAAAUGCUUUGCAUGACAAGAACCUCCUCCAUGACCAAGUACACCCUACUAUUUGAAGGCCUCGUAGUUCGGUAUUCUGGCUUGAGUCCCUGGCACAUCUGGACACUUGAAUGUAGUGAUGUACUUGGUAUAAACUCUACUACUGAAUUUAUUCAACUCAUAUACACCGAAAUUAAAGAACAAAGCAGAGACAAUCACACAUCUUGUUUAGCUUCAUCUGAUACUGGCUACCUUCCUCUCUAUCAGAAUCCACACGCAGCAGAAUGAGUUUCAGUAAAAUCAAUGGGAAAGUGACACAAAUGAAAAG